CCAACACACACACAAAAUUCCCAACACACACAAUCCUCAACACACACACAAAAUUCCCAACACAUACAAUCCUCAGAACACACACAAUCCUCAACACACACACAAUUCCCAAUACACACACAAUCUCAAACACACACAAUUCCCUCACACACAAUUCUCAACACACACACAAAAUUCCCAACAUGCACAAUCCCCAACGUACACGCAAUCCACAACACAUACACAAAAUUCCCAACGCACACACAAAAUUUCCAACACACAAUCCUCUGUACACAUUGUCCCCAACUCACACACAACUCCCAACAUGCACAGAAUCCCCAACACACACACAAAUCCCCAACACACACAAUCCUCAACACACACACAAUUCCCAAUACACACACAAUCCCCAACACACCCAAUCCCCAGCACACACACAGAAUCUCCCCCACACACAAUCCUCAACACACACACAAUCCCCAACACACCCAAUCCCCAGCACACACACACAAUCUCCCCCACACACAAUCCCCAACACACACACAACCCCCAACACAUACACAAUCCCCAACACAAUCCCCAACACGCAAUCUACAACACCCACACACCACAAUCCCCAACACACAUACAAAAUCUGCAAUAUACACACAAUCCCCAACACACGAUUUCCAACACACACAACUCCCAAACAUACAUGCUCCCCAGCACACACACUUUCCUCCCACACACAUCCUAAGCCCGUGCCUUCCACCCAGUAGGCUUCCACUGUCUUCUGUCACGAGGAGGAAAGGCAGGCGGAGUCCGGGGAGCAGGGUAGAUGGGGCUAAGGGGCCCUUGGCUGGCCGGCCCUGCGCACCCCUCCCCCAUCUCCUUUUCUCAGCCUUCCUUCCCAGGGAACCUGGACACCCAGGCCCUUCCCCCACCGCCUGCUC
rnacentral:lncRNA from 1 species